rnacentral:rRNA from 1 species
ACGAACGCUGGCGGCGUGCCUAAUACAUGCAAGUAGAACGCUGAAGGAGGAGCUUGCUUCUCUGGAUGAGUUGCGAACGGGUGAGUAACGCGUAGGUAACCUGCCUGGUAGCGGGGGAUAACUAUUGGAAACGAUAGCUAAUACCGCAUAAUAGUAGAUGUUGCAUGACAUUUGCUUAAAAGGUGCAAUUGCAUCACUACCAGAUGGACCUGCGUUGUAUUAGCUAGUUGGUGGGGUAACGGCUCACCAAGGCGACGAUACAUAGCCGACCUGAGAGGGUGAUCGGCCACACUGGGACUGAGACACGGCCCAGACUCCUACGGGAGCCAGCAGUAGGGAAUCUUCGGCAAUGGACGGAAGUCUGACCGAGCAACGCCGCGUGAGUGAAGAAGGUUUUCGGAUCGUAAAGCUCUGUUGUAAGAGAAGAACGAGUGUGAGAGUGGAAAGUUCACACUGUGACGGUAUCUUACCAGAAAGGGACGGCUAACUACGUG